rnacentral:snRNA from 1 species
AGUUUUGCACAGUGGCAAUAUUGUGGCCAACCAGGUUUAUACGAGGCAUAAUUUUUGCUAAUUAAAACAGCUCAUAACAG